GUGCUCACUUCAGCAGCACAUAUACUAAAACUGGAACGAUACAGAGAAGAUUAGCAUGGCCCCUGUACAAGGAAGACACACAAAUUUGCGAAGCAUUCCAAAUUUUA